UCAUCAGAGGAUCUUGUGCAAACGCAGGCUCUAAUUCAGCUGGCCUGAGAGUCUGCAUUUCUAACAAGUUCCCAGAUG
ensembl:miRNA